CUGGCCCACACUCAAGGGAGGGCAAUCGGCUCUACCUUUCGAGUGGAGGACUAAAAAAGGAUUUGUGGAUGUAUUUGAAAACCAUCACAGAUGAAUAGACAUCAUAUAUAAGAAGAAUGUAAAUAGAAGAGAAAACUGUUCUUCCCACUGUGAUAGGAACACUCCUCUGAUGACUGCAGUGCCUUUAUUGGCAAACACUCACAGCGUACAGAGGGCACAGUUCUAUGCCCAUACCUCUGACAAGCAGGAUCUCAUGGCUGCCCUCAAAGAACUUUGAAUCUCAGGAGAAGAGAGAUACCACCAUAAAAUUAUUAAACCAUGGAGGAGGUACACCAUUGUAUGCAUAAUGUAUAUAUCAAUUAUAAUUCUAGUUUAUUGCUUAUUGUUUUCAUGUGUAUUGAUUGUGUCAAUCAAACUGCAAUGUAAAUUCUUUGCACACAAGGGCCUCAUUUGUCUUCCCUCAUUUCUGCUUACUUUCCAGCACAGAGUCUGUCUCAUACUAGGACUUUAAUAAAACUUACUGAUAGAAUGGGGCUGGUCCACUGCUUUCUGGUUCCUGUAAAACCAUGAAUGUAUGGCUAUCCCAAGCAAUAGACGUAAAGCACUUCCUGAAUCAGAACACCUCUAACCUAUUAGAAAUUAUAAAAACUAAUUUGAAAAGAAAUUCUUAGACUUGAAGAAGGGAAUGAAAUAAUAGUAAUGAUACCUGACAUUGGGCCAUGCGCUCUCAUCUAAUUUAAUGGUCACAGCGAUCCAAUUCUGUCAUUAUUGCUAUCGUGACCAUUUAAA
rnacentral:lncRNA from 1 species